rnacentral:rRNA from 1 species
AUUGAACGCUGGCGGCAGGCCUAACACAUGCAAGUCGAGCGGAUGAAGUGAGCUUGCUCCUGGAUUCAGCGGCGGACGGGUGAGUAAUGCCUAGGAAUCUGCCUGGUAGUGGGGGAUAACGUCCGGAAACGGGCGCUAAUACCUCAUACGUCCUGAGGGAGAAAGUGGGGGAUCUUCGGACCUCACGCUAUCAGAUGAGCCUAGGUCGGAUUAGCUAGUUGGUGGGGUAAAGGCCUACCAAGGCGACGAUCCGUAACUGGUCUGAGAGGAUGAUCAGUCACACUGGAACUGAGACACGGUCCAGACUCCGACGGGAGGCAGCAGUGGGGAAUAUUGGACGAUGGGCGAAAGCCUGAUCCAGCCAUGCCGAGUGUGUGAAGAAGGUCUGCGGAUUGUAAAGCACUUUAAGUUCGGAGGAAGGGCAGUAAGUUAAUACCUUGCUGUUUUGACGUUACCAACAGAAUAAGCACCGGCUAACUUCGUG